rnacentral:rRNA from 1 species
UACGGAGGGUGCAAGCGUUAAUCGGAAUUACUGGGCGUAAAGCGUGCGCAGGCGGUUUGUUAAGUCUGUUGUGAAAUCCCCGAGCUCAACUUGGGAAUUGCAAUGGAUACUGGCAGGCUGGAGUAUGGUAGAGGAAGGUGGAAUUCCCGGUGUAGCAGUGAAAUGCGUAGAGAUCGGGAGGAACACCAGUGGCGAAGGCGGCCUUCUGGACCAAUACUGACGCUUAUGCACGAAAGCGUGGGGAGCAAACAGG